GACGAACGCUGGCGGCGUGCUUAACACAUGCAAGUCGAACGGAAAGGCCCUGCUUUUGUGGGGUGCUCGAGUGGCGAACGGGUGAGUAACACGUGAGUAACCUGCCCUUGACUUUGGGAUAACUUCAGGAAACUGGGGCUAAUACCGGAUAGGAGCUCCUGCUGCAUGGUGGGGGUUGGAAAUUUUCGGCGGUUGGGGAUGGACUCGCGGCUUAUCAGCUUGUUGGUGGGGUAGUGGCUUACCAAGGCUUUGACGGGUAGCCGGCCUGAGAGGGUGACCGGCCACAUUGGGACUGAGAUACGGACCAGAGUCCUACGGGAGGCAGCAGUGGGGAAUAUUGCCCAAUGGGAGGAAGCCUGAUGAAGCAACGCCGCGUGCGGGAUGACGGCCUUCGGGUUGUAAACCGCUUCAGCCUGUGACGAAGCGUGAGUGACGGUAAUGGGUAAAGAAGCACCGGCUAACUACGUG
rnacentral:rRNA from 1 species